UUUUCUGAAAUCAGCUUCUGGAAAUUUUCCAGGUCUUCAUCACAAGGAAUUUCGGAAGAAAAGAAUACCAAAUGACAUUGAAAUGUCCAAUGCUUAAAUCACAUGUUUCACUGUAUUGAAAUUCCCGAAUUCAGGAACAGAUUCAAAAAGAAUUGACACUGAUUUCAUGAAUUCUGAUUAAAUGCUUCAGUUUAAGAACUUGGAACUUGGCAACAAAUUUCCAAAUUCAAUGUAUCAAGUUAAAACGUGCCAUUUCAGAUCUCAACUUAAUGAAUUUGCAGAAAUUACAAAGUAUAAGAUAGACAUGCAGCUCUCAGUGAGGUUUCCAAAUUUGAUAGUCUUCAUUAUCUUCCAUUCCUGCACAGCAGACUACUGAUUUCAACUUUGUAUCAAUCUGUCACGUUUAGUUACACAAAACUUCAAUACUUCUUUCAUUUUGUCUCUUAAGACUCUUCACAAUGCAUAACCUAAAACUUCCAAGUUUCUACAGUUUCUGCUCAUUACAAUUUCCUUCUCAAAUUGGCACAAAAAAUGUCAGCAUAAUUUCUGCAGAAUCUGCAUUUUCCAGAAUUCCAGAACAGUUGCAGAAUUCAGGAUUCCUGAUUCAGCAGCAGAUUUCAGAGAUCAACUUUUAUGAAUUUAGUAUCAGAAUUUAGAUUCUUGAAUUUGAUUCGUUUUGCAGCACCAGUAACUUGGUAGUGGAAGAUUCUUUUGGAUUUAAUUUCUGAUUAGCAACCUGCAAACAACUUGAUAUGCCACAAUUUCUUCAAGUGAUUUCCUUUUAAUGAAUUUUCCUGCAUUUCAGUUC